AGUGCAUGUGUGGGAGGGCAAGACAGAAAAGACAAAUAGAGGCGGCACAGUGAAUGGGCGUGGAAGUUUCACACUGAGUUUCACUCCAAGUUCUCAGUCAUUCAACAACCUAUAUGGCACAGGGAGAGGUCGAGCCUCCGUUUGUCUUUUGGACUUCCACUACGACAGCCGUGGUGUUUGGAUGACCACGCGUGGAGAUCCUAACUGAAACCUAUACGUAAAAGGAAGCAAUUUCAUGUGGCAGCGCUCACCUUAAGACUGGAAUUUUGUUGAGGGGACAAGAAGAAAAUACACCUGCCUGCCAUCUCACUAAGACUUUAAUAUCACUCUGAACCACACACUGGACAAACUAAGAGAUUCCUUUUUUCACUGAAGGAAUGUAUUCAGACUGAGGAGCCUGUUAAAUUGAAUCAGAAAUGUCUACAUCACAUCAGACACGUAUAAUCGUGGAUGAAGAUGUCCCACUGAAUACCAUCCCAGGGUCAGGCGACGCACAAAAUAAUCAAUUAACAAGACAGGGUGCUGCCUCCUGCUGUGGUGACAAAAACCACAGGAAACUUGCCAUCUGCAGCAUCAUCUGUGGGAUCUCCUGCAUCGGAAUCAAGGCUCUGAUAAAUUCAGUCAAGGCUGAGACAACGACAGAUCCAGAGAAAGCUGCAACGUUUUCAAGACGGGCAAAGAAAUUUGGAAUUCUCUCCAUUGUUACUUGGGUUGUCAUUCUGGCUUUAACACCCAUACUGAUGGCACUGAUCUCAUAUCUCUUCACUCUGCAAGACUGAUCAACUUUAAUAAACCUCUACAGGAGACAACCAAAAGGAGUGACUCGGAUGUUUAUGGAGACAGACAGCGGACAGUACAAAGCUGCUCAUAAACUACUAAAAGCCAUAAAAGAUGUGAAGAAUAUGGCUUUAGUGUGCUGGAAAAAAUGACUGCUUUCCACUUUUCUACUUAACCAUUUCUAAUGGUUUUACACACAGAACCACUCAAGAAAACUGUAUCAAAAACGUUACAACAUUUACAUGUUUUUUAUAUGCCGUAAUAUUUAUUUAACAAUAUAUGAACAUGUGGACAUUUAAAAUCUAAACCAUAUAAAAUCCAGCAUUAACUAUAGUUUGAAACAUGACACAUUAUAUACUGAAGAUUAGAAUUGUCAUUCCCCAGUAAUGACCCAAUCCUUAAUACUGUUGCACCUUAAAUGCUUUUACAAUCUAACACUCAUUUUUAGGUACUGUAUAUACUUUAGAUACUACAAAAGCUAAUAAAUUACCAAAAAUCCAAACAGUAGCAACUUAAACAUCAAAGAUUGGGUCUCUCCUG